UCCCGGGUAGCUCAAUGGCAGAGCAACUCGCUGUUAACGAGUAGGUUGUCGGUUCGAAUCCGACCCCGGGAGCCA
rnacentral:tRNA from 1 species